UAUAAUCGUCAGAUAACAGGCAUGAAAUGUAAAAAUAUCUUGAGUCGGAACACGCCGAAUUUACUAUAUCGAUAUGCCUUGACACGCGUACAAGUUCAUGUGUUAAGGCAUCGGUGGAACCUAGUGUACAUGGUUCUCUAUGCCGUAAUGGUCAUCAUGACUCGUCAUCGUAACAGUGCAGUGUAGUUGAGUCAGUUAAGUGUAGUUUUCAUGGUCAGUGAUAGUGGUGUAAUACUUUGCAAGUCCCGUGUUCUUAUAUGUAAUAUUUUUACAUUGAAUUGGAGUAUUUUGCAUAAUAUCGGAUCUCCGUGGAUAAAAAAACCUCAGAAAAUUGUGGAAUAAUAUUGCCAAACAUUGGUAAAUUAGAAUUUCUGGUUCAACGGCUACUACCAAGGUCAUAAAGUAUAAAGGAAAUUGUGGAAUAAUAUUGCCAAACAUUGGAAACAAUACGAGAGCAAGCAUUUCAUACUUUAUUGUUGACAGACCUCGCAUAUUUCAUUUUACAAGUUCUCUUGAAGAGGUGUAUGGACGGUUUGUUUUAUGAACAUAUAUAAAAUAUGUUAGAUAUUUGCAGAUAUUGCUAAUUGAAAAAACUCUCAUUUACUUACAUUUAAAUUAAAAUUUUAGAAUAUACAAUCUCUAAUUAUUAUAGGCUUAAUUCUACAAAAAUGUAUGUAUUUUUAACUUUCAAUAUCUUUGUAACUAAAUUUUGAAUUAGAAUUUCAUUAAAGUAAAAUUCACUUGAAAAUAAUAUCAAAGUAUUAAUAGUGUACAUGUUAAUUUUUCUUUUAACCACGUUGCGAGUGACCACCAGCCAUUCACUGCAGUGCUU